rnacentral:misc_RNA from 1 species
CCGAGUUUACAACUCCCAAACCUCUGUGAACAUACCUAUACGUUGCCUCGGCGGAUCAGCCCGCGCCCCGUAAAAAGGGACGGCCCGCCCGAGGACCCCUAAACUCUGUUUUUAGUGGAACUUCUGAGUAAAACAAACAAAUAAAUCA